GUAGUUCAACAUCAGAAGUUGAUUUAAUAAGUAGUUCAACAUCAGAAAUUAUAUCAACUUCUGAUGUUGAACUGCUUAUUAAAUCAACUUCUGAUGUUGAACUA
rnacentral:pre_miRNA from 1 species